rnacentral:rRNA from 1 species
AACGAACGCUGGCGGCAGGCUUAACACAUGCAAGUCGAACGCGUGCAGCAAUGCACGAGUGGCGCACGGGUGAGUAACGAGUGGAUAUCUGCCUUUUGGUUCGGAAUAACCCCGGGAAACUGGGGCUAAUACCGGAUGGUUCCUACGGGAUAAAGAUUUAUCGCCAAAAGAUGAGUCCGCGUCCGAUUAGCUAGUUGGUGAGGUAAUGGCUCACCAAGGCGACGAUCGGUAGCUGGCCUGAGAGGACGAUCAGCCACACUGGGACUGAGACACGGCCCAGACUCCUACGGGAGGCAGCAGUGGGGAAUAUUGGACAAUGGGGGCAACCCUGAUCCAGCCAUGCCGCGUGAGUGAUGAAGGCCUUCGGGUUGUAAAGCUCUUUUGGCGGGGACGAUGAUGACGGUACCCGCAGAAUAAGCCCCGGCUAACUUCGUG